UUGUGGUCGGUGGACAGGUUGGUGCAUGGUUGUCGUCAGCUCGUGUCGUGAGAUGUUGGGUUAAGUCCCGCAACGAGCGCAACCCUCGUCCUAUGUUGCCAGCGGGUCAUGCCGGGACUCAUGGGAGACUGCCGGGGUCAACUCGGAGGAAGGUGGGAUGACGUCAAAUCAUCAUGCCCCUUAUGUCUUGGGCUUCACGCAUGCUACAAUGGCCGGUACAAAGGGCUGCGAUACCGCGAGGUGGAGCGAAUCCCAAGAAAGCCGGUCUCAGUUCGGAUUGGGGUCUGCAACUCGACCCCAUGAAGUCGGAGUCGCUAGUAAUCGCAGAUCAGCAACGCUGCGGUGAAUACGUUCCCGGGCCUU
rnacentral:rRNA from 1 species